rnacentral:snRNA from 1 species
GAGCCAGGCCUCGAUGAGUAGGA